AGAAACUAACAAGGAUUCCCUAGUAACUGCGAGUGAAAGCGGGAAAAGCUCAAAUUUAAAAUCUGGCAGUCUUUGGGCUGUCCGAAUUGUAUUCUGGAGAAGCGUUUUCCGCGCUGGACCGUGUACAAGUCUCUUGGAAUAGAGCGUCAUAGAGGGUGAGAAUCCCGUCUUUGACACGGACUACCAGUGCUUUGUGAUGCGCUCUCAAAGAGUCGAGUUGUUUGGGAAUGCAGCUCAAAAUGGGUGGUGAAUUCCAUCUAAAGCUAAAUAUUGGCGAGAGACCGAUAGCGAACAAGUACCGUGAGGGAAAGAUGAAAAGCACUUUGGAAAGAGAGUUAAACAGUACGUGAAAUUGCUGAAAGGGAAACGCUUGAAGUCAGUCGCGUCAUCCAGAACUCAGCCUGGCUUUUGCUUGGUGUAUUUUCUGGUUGACGGGCCAGCAUCAGUUUUGACCGCUGGAAAAAGGCCAUGGGAAUGUGGCACCUUCGGGUGUGUUAUAGCCCGUGGUCAUAUACAGCGGUUGGGACUGAGGACCGCAGCACGCCUUUAUGGUUGGGGUUCGCCCACAUUCGUGCUUAGGAUGCUGGCGUAAUGGCUUUAAACGACCCGUCUUGAAACACGGACCAAGGAGUCUAACAUGCCUGCGAGUGUUUGGGUGGAAAACCCGAGCGCGUAAUGAAAGUGAAAGUUGGGAUCCCUGUCGUGGGGAGCACCGACGCCCGGACCAGACCUUUUGUGACGGAUCCGCGGUAGAGCAUGUAUGUUGGGACCCGAAAGAUGGUGAACUAUGCCUGAAUAGGGUGAAGCCAGAGGAAACUCUGGUGGAGGCUCGUAGCGAUUCUGACGUGCAAAUCGAUCGUCAAAUUUGGGUAUAGGGGCGAAAGAC
rnacentral:rRNA from 1 species